rnacentral:rRNA from 1 species
CGUAGGCGGUUAAAUAAGUCAGAUGUGAAAGCCCCGGGCUCAACCUGGGAACUGCAUUUGAAACUGUUUAGCUAGAGUGUGGUAGAGGAGAGUGGAAUUUCAGGUGUAGCGGUGAAAUGCGUAGAUAUCUGAAGGAACAUCAGUGGCGAAGGCGGCUCUCUGGACCAACACUGACGCUGAGGUGCGAAAGCGUGGGUAGCAAACG